rnacentral:rRNA from 1 species
AAUGAACGUUGGCGGCGUGGAUUAGGCAUGCAAGUCGAGCGCGAACCCCGCAAGGGGUGAAAGCGGCGAAAGGGAGAGUAACGCGUGGGUAUUUACCCUCGGGACUGGGAUAGCUGCGAGAAACUGCAGGUAAUACCAGAUGACGUCCCCGGACCAAAGGUGUGAUUCCGCCUUAGGAUAAGGCCGCGUCCUAUUAGCUAGUUGGUGAGGUAAUGGCUCACCAAGGCAAUGAUGGGUACUGGGUGUGAGAGCACGACCCAGCUCACUGGGACUGAGACACUGCCCAGACACCUACGGGUGGCUGCAGUCGAGAAUCUUCGGCAAUGGGCGCAAGCCUGACCGAGCGACGCCGCGUGUGGGAUGAAGGCCUUCGGGUUGUAAACCGCUGUCAGAGGGGAGGAAUGGGCGGAGGGUAAUCUCUUCGUUUUGACCUAUCCUCAGAGGAAGUACGGGCUAAGUUCGCGCCAGCAGCCGCGGUAA